AAAUCUUUAUGUUUCUUAUAAGUAUCUGAAAAGGUUUCUUGCCUGACUUCUAUUUGUUCAUUCCAGUUACCUUGCUCUUACAUAUGUUUUGUGUAUCAUCUGUG